UACGUAUGGGGCAAGCGUUAUCCGGAUUUACUGGGUGUAAAGGGAGCGUAGGCGGCAUACCAAGCCUGAUGUGAAAACCCGGGGCCCAACCCCGGGAGUGCAUUGGGAACUGGCAAGCUAGAGUGUCGGAGAGGCAGGCGGAAUUCCUAGUGUAGCGGUGAAAUGUGUAGAUAUUAGGAGGAACACCAGUGGCGAAGGCGGAUUACUGGACGAUAACUGACGGUGAGGCGCGAAAGCGUGGGGAGCAAACAGG
rnacentral:rRNA from 1 species